GACGAACCGAGCGAACGUUGUUCGGAAUCACUGGGCUUAAAGGGCGCGUAGGCGGGUGCUCAAGUCCGGGGUGAAAUCCUCCAGCUCAACUGGAGAACUGCCUCGGAUACUGGGUGCCUCGAGGGUGGUAGGGGUAUGCGGAACUAUCGGUGGAGCGGUGAAAUGCGUUGAUAUCGAUAGGAACUCCGGUGGCGAAGGCGGCAUACUGGACCACUUCGUGACGCUGAGGCGACGAAAGCCAGGGGAGCAAACGGG
rnacentral:rRNA from 1 species